CAGUCGCCGCGGUAACACGAAGGGGGCUAGCGUUGCUCGGAAUUACUGGGCGUAAAGGGAGCGUAGGCGGAUCGUUAAGUUGGGGGUGAAAGCCCGGGGCUCAACCUCGGAACUGCCUUCAAUACUGGCGAUCUUGAGUAUGAGAGAGGUGUGUGGAACUCCGAGUGUAGAGGUGAAAUUCGUAGAUAUUCGGAAGAACACCAGUGGCGAAAGCGACACACUGGCUCAUUACUGACGCUGAGGCUCGAAAGCGUGGGGAGCAAACAGGAUUAGAUACCCGCGUAGUCCCUGUCUCUUAUAC
rnacentral:rRNA from 1 species